rnacentral:tRNA from 1 species
GCCCCCAUCGUCUAAUGGAUGAGGACCGUGGCCUUCUAAGCCACUCGUGGACGUUCGAGUCGUCCUGGGGGUG